rnacentral:lncRNA from 1 species
CAAAAUUGACUCUGACUCAGUCCGACACUCUCUAGAUGUGUCGACCAGUCACUAAUACUAUAGCAAAUCCUAUCCAAACCUCAGGAACACUACAGCAUUGUUACUCCCCGAACUUUUGGCGAAGUUUCACUUUACCCUCCUAGCUGACGGAAGGGGUAAUACGAAUGAAAAAUUAGAGUUUAGGGUAUAUUAGAUGUCCAUUUUAGGAGUUUGGGGGGUAAAGUGAAA